CGCGAUGGUAUGUGUGGCUCUUCUGAGAGCACAUUGCUACAUUCCAUACUCCGCAGGACGUUGCAGCGAGAAGCCUGAUGAUAUAUUCAUCGUCCCGUACUACGGUGACGGUGACCGGCCAAAGCCACCUGAAAUCGGCCACAGUUACAUUGCCAAGUACGAAAUGAACACCAUAGACUCAAACCACCCAGCGUGGGUUGAAGAGUACUUUGACUAUAAUGGCAAGAGAGCGAAAAUAUCAGCGUCUGUUCUCGGCGUCCAGUUUGUCGACAUUUACGAUUACGGCAGAGGAACGGUCACGUCCUAUCGACUAUACAGACCCGAAACCAGUGGCUGGAGUUCAACAAUUGAAGACACCUGCGAGACUGUUGAAAUGACUAAGUUCAAGCCUGCAGUUCAGAUUCUGUCGUACCCUUUGUCGAAGACAGCUAAGCCCGGACCACAGCGUAUGCCCACGUCCAACCAAGCGUUGAAGUACGGCCCUCCGUACAACUACACCUACCUAGAGGGCUACAUUGGCAAAGAGACCCGAAAUAUACAAUCCGAGAUAUUCCGAGGAUGCGUGAAUGAAGAAUAUCUGAAUUUUUCUCUGCGCUCGAACUUCUAUUGGGGAAACGCCCUACCAUUUUCUUAUCCGAGCGGAGAAGAGCGAGCGCCAGUUUAUAUCGAAAUGAGAGGACCCGACAUUAAUAACAAUGCACAAGAUAUUUACGCAAUGAUGUAUGUUUCUUGGUACGAGAAAGACCCGAAGUUCGCCUUUGAUGCGUUUCAGAUUCCGGAGGGACUGCACUGCAAGUACAGGCCCAAUAGAGGGCGACUGCCCAACAUGCCAUCUUCGUUCAGCUACAGCGUUGAAGAGACAGUGUUUCAACUAGAUGGAAGUGGAUAUCUGAAGGCCGGCUUUGCUUCACUUUCGUACAAAAAGGCUUUACGUAUGUUUCAAGCAUGGCACAAUCGACCUGCCUGUGGGCAGGCAAGCAGAAGGGUUAUUUCUGGAACCACCCCAAUGGUACUCUGAAGACGCCUGAGGAACUCUUCAGAAUCAACUCAAAUCUACAAUACAAGGGGAAGGCCACCGUAAUGGGUGUUGAAGCUGAGACGUGGACAGAGCUGCUCAAAAACAUGGAAAAGUCUUCAAU
rnacentral:misc_RNA from 1 species